AGUCAGCCAUCGAGAAAUACCUUCUGCUUAAGUGAAACUCUGUCGAGAGUUAUGAUGCUGGUCAGGACGGUGUAGAAAAUGAAGGUCUCAUAGGGAAAGAUCUCAUAAGUGGUAAAGGUUGAAUUAGAAUUAAGAAGGGAAAGAUCUCAUAAGUGGUAAAGGUUGAAAUAGAAUCAAGAAAUAAGCUGGCAGCCUUCUUAAAGUUUCUGGUGGACAUGCAAUACAAGCCUUCAUAGACCUUUAGCCUGUUCUUCCUCUCCCAGUCACCACCCUCUUCAAACAACC
rnacentral:lncRNA from 1 species